rnacentral:tRNA from 1 species
AUUGUCGUGAGCCUACUGGUUAGGGCUUCGGACUUGUAACCGGAGGGUUGCCGGUUCGAACCCCAACCACAACC